GUGGUUGUAGCUCAGUGGAAGAGCACUUGCCUGGCACGUGUGAGGCUCUGGGUUCAAUCCUCAGCACCAUA
rfam:Ictidomys tridecemlineatus contig027275, whole genome shotgun sequence.